GGGCAAUACGCGGGAGGGACCGGGGUAGUGCUGAGGGGACGAGGGGUGGCCGGGAUGAUUGGGGGGAAAGAGCUCGGGUGCGGUUGGUUACGUCGGCUGUGAAAACCCAGGGCUUAACCCUGGGCUUGCAGUGGAUACGGGCAGACUAGAGGCAGGUAGGGGAGAAUGGAAGUCCCGGUGUAGCGGUGAAAUGCGCAGAUAUCGGGAGGAACACCGGUGGCGAAGGCGGUUCUCUGGGCCUGACCUGACGCUGAGGAGCGAAAGCGUGGGGAGCGAACAGGAUUAGAUACCCUAGUAGUC
rnacentral:rRNA from 1 species